GAAGUGACCAUUCAGGGGUCCGCUGGUCAAGUUCCCCCCCACCCCUCCCCCCACCUUGCCAUAAGUCACAGUCAUCUGGAAAGAGAGAACUUCAAUUGAGAAAAUGCCUCCAUAAGAUUGAUGUAUAGCGCUGGAGAAUUGACUCAGCAAUUGAGAGCAUUUGUUGCUCCUUCAGAGGGCCCAGUGGUGAGCUGCAUUUCCUGAGAGUCAGCAGACUUCCCAGCAGGAAUUCCAGCCUGAUGGAGAAGCAGCCAAAGGAAGUCCUCACUGAGAGACACAGUGGUAUCAUUCACUGAGUGGAAACAGUGAAAGAGUAACAUAUUUCUAAAGGGAAUUUACAUUAUUAAUACUGUGCUUUUGUAGCAACUUACAGAAAUACUUUCAUCUUUCGUGGUGGAAGGAAUAAGUAAUUUUUCUCAAAACCCUAGCUUUGUCUCUAAAGCUUUUUCUGUUUUACUCUGCUAUCCCAUCUCUGAGAUGCUAUUCAUAACUGCAUCACUGUCUUCCUAAACAUAAAACAAAAUAACUAAGUCUUCACCUGAGGGACUGUGAUGCCACAUGUUCUAGCAGUAGCUCU
rnacentral:lncRNA from 1 species